GUGGGCGAGCGGCGACCCGUCUGGACCUGGAGUGGGAACCUAGGAAGACACGAGACCGCAGUGCCCCUCAGUUGAGGGGUGGGUCUGGACUCGGGUCUGGUCUCACCUUCCUUUCAGCAAGAAGAAAAUAUCAGGCCUUUUUUGCAGUCGCCUGUCUGAACUCAUUUUCUAGUCAUGGAAAGCUCAGAAAAGACCUAUUUACCGGUUGACAUUAAGCACUAAAGCCUCCUUAAUAGGAAAGCGUGGUUAUGUUUAUUCACGGUGUCUCUCUAAAUAAAAGUGACGAAAGUGCUUCGGAUAAUGUAGCCUAUCCUAGUGAUGCUGGAAGGAAAACUCGGGAUUCUGUUGCAGGGAGAAAACCAGGGGUUUCCGACCAGCCCGGAUGGUCUCACCUCGGGCGUCCCAGUGUGGUGUUGCAGCGUUUCUGGAAAAAGUGCAGACUCGGGGAGACAGAAAACCUUCCCAACCAUCUUAAUCUAUUUAUGGAGCAGAGCUACCACCCGGAGAUCUUCGGAACCACUGCUAAUGGAACAGUAAAUGCGAUGGAAACAGAAGAUUGAAAAGUAGUUGCUUAUCAGGAUUUGCUCUUAUUUGCUGUCCUGAGACCACCAUGAGACGUCUGACUUAGCCUAUUGGAGGAUGAAAUAUGGGAGUGAAGAUGAAAUAUGUCUGCUGAGGCCCUUAGACCAACCUGCCUCAACUGUCCGACAAGCUGACUGCAGCUGUAUUAGUGAGCCUACGUCAAUGCCACAGAACAGCCCAGCUGAGCCCAACUGCAAUUGAUAACCCAAAGGAUGGUGGGCAAAUAACAUGGUUGCUAUUUUUUAAAUUAAUUAAUCAC
ensembl:lncRNA